AUUAAACGCUGGCGGCAUGCCUUACACAUGCAAGUCGAACGGCAGCACGGGGCAAUCUGGUGGCGAGUGGCGAACGGGUGAGUAAAGCAUCGGAACGUGCCCUGGAGUGGGGGGAUAACGUAGCGAAAGUUACGCUAAUACCGCAUAUUCUGUGAGCAGGAAAGCAGGGGAUCGCAAGACCUUGCGCUCUGGGAGCGGCCGAUGUCGGAUUAGCUAGUUGGUGGGGUAAAGGCCUACCAAGGCGACGAUCCGUGGCGGGUCUGAGAGGAUGAUCCGCCACACUGGGACUGAGACACGGCCCAGACUCCUACGGGAGGCAGCAGUGGGGAAUUUUGGACAAUGGGCGCAAGCCUGAUCCAGCCAUGCCGCGUGAGUGAAGAAGGCC
rnacentral:rRNA from 1 species